UUGAUAAAAAUUAGUUUAGGGUUUUUUUUUAUGAAAAUUAGUUUAGGUGUGUGCUAGAUCAUGCUGACCAAAAAAUACUAUGAUCGGAUUAACUCUGUUUUACAUUGUUCAAAUAAAAAAUGUGAGUAGGGUCUGCAGUUUCUCUUCUUUAUUCUGUUGCAAUUGCUAUAAAAUUGGCUUGAUUUUCUAUUUCGUUGUUGAUGAUUUUAUUGUUUGCAUGGAUGUUGUUUCUGGUUGAGAUUUAUGUGGUUAAUGUUGCAGAAAUAGGAAAGGAAGAUGAAGUAUCGGGAAAUAUUGGUUCUGGUUCUAUGUUUGCUUGGGUUUGUUCUUGGAGCGGUGUUUGAUACAGUAGUCGGGGAAAUUGCAAUUAUUACGAACUGAACCAAGUUCCACAACAGGGCUGAUCAUAGUUGCGCCAGUUGAAGAUUCAAAAUCCACGUGUUGGGUGUUCUUGAUAUUGCUUGUAGAAUGAUUGAAGUCAUAUCAAACUGAAAGCUAAGCGAUUGUGUAGAAAGUCAGACGAUCGUUGAAGGUUUGAGAAGGCGUUUAAGAUUUCUUAUUUAAGUUUUGUAUUAGGAUCUUGUUUCAUGUACCGUUGUAGAAUAUAUAAACAUAAUAUAAGAUUCCAUUUUGUGUAUACAAAUGUAAAAGACAAAUAUUAUAGUUUCUAAAAUAAUAUUAAUUUUAUUGA